GAUUUCUGGCUUGAAACAUUUUGCCGGCCACGGUUUCGUGUGUUAGUGCUUUGUUUUUUCGCCAUCCUUCCAAUGGCUAUUCAUCCUUCUUCAUUGAGGUGGUGAGUGGUAUUGGAUCUUUUACUUUGAAAAAAUUAGAGUGUUUCAAGCAGGCUUUAUGCUAUGAAUACAUUAGCAUGGAAUAAUAAUUUAGGACUUCGGUUCUAUUUUGUUGGUUUCUAGGACUGAAGUAAUGAUUGAUAGGGAUAGUUGGGGGUGCUAGUAUUCAGCGGCCAGAGGUGAAAUUCUCGGAUUCGCUGAAGACUAACUUAUGCGAAAGCAUU
rnacentral:rRNA from 1 species